CAACUACUCCCUCUGUCCCAAAUUUCUUGUCUUAGAUUUGUCUAGAUACGGAUGUAUCUAAUACUAAAAUGUGACUUGAUACAUCCGUAUCUAGACAAAUCUAAGACAAGAAUUUUGGGAUGGAAGGAGUACUUU
rnacentral:pre_miRNA from 1 species